rnacentral:rRNA from 1 species
UGGGGAAUAUUGCACAAUGGGCGAAAGCCUGAUGCAGCGACGCCGCGUGAGGGAUGACGGCCUUCGGGUUGUAAACCUCUUUCAGCAGGGAAGAAGCGAAAGUGACGGUACCUGCAGAAGAAGCGCCGGCUAACUACGUGCCAGCAGCCGCGGUAAUACGUAGGGCGCAAGCGUUGUCCGGAAUUAUUGGGCGUAAAGAGCUCGUAGGCGGUUAGUCGCGUCUGCUGUGAAAACUCGAGGCUCAACCUCGGGCUUGCAGUGGGUACGGGCUGACUAGAGUGCGGUAGGGGUGACUGGAAUUCCUGGUGUAGCGGUGGAAUGCGCAGAUAUCAGGAGGAACACCGAUGGCGAAGGCAGGUCACUGGGCCGCAACUGACGCUGAGGAGCGAAAGCAUGGGGAGCGAACAGGAUUAGAUACCCUGGUAGUCCAUGCCGUAAACGUUGGGCACUAGGUGUGGGGUCCAUUCCACGGAUUCCGUGCCGCAGCAAACGCAUUAAGUGCCCCGCCCGGGGAGUACGGCCGCAAGGCUAAAACUCAAAUGAAUUGACGGGGUC